UAGGGAAUCUUCCGCAAUGGACGCAAGUCUGACGGAGCAACGCCGCGUGAGUGAAGAAGGAUUUCGGUUCGUAAAACUCUGUUGUUAGAGAAGAACAGCGCAUAGAGUAACUGUUAUGCGUGUGACGGUAUCUAACCAGAAAGCCACGGCUAACUACGUGCCAGCAGCCGCGGUAAUACGCAGGUGGCAAGCGUUGUCCGGAUUUAUUGGGCGUAAAGCGAGCGCAGGCGGUCGAUUGAGUCUGAUGUGAAAGCCCCCGGCUCAACCGGGGAGGGUCAUUGGAAAAUGGUGGUCUUGAGUGCAGAAGAGGAGAGUGGAAUUCCAUGUGUAGCGGUGAAAUGCGUAGAUAUAUAGAGGAACACCAGUGGCGAAGGCGACUCUCUGGUCUGUAACUGACGCUGAGGCUCGAAAGCGUGGGUAGCAAACAGG
rnacentral:rRNA from 1 species